CCUACGGGUGGCAGCAGUAGGGAAUCUUUCACAAUGGGCGAAAGCCUGAUGGAGCAACGCCGCGUGCAGGAUGAAGGCCUUCGGGUUGUAAACUGCUUUUAUAAGCGAGAAAUAUGAUGGUAACUUAUGAAUAAGGAUCGGCUAACUACGUGCCAGCAGCCGCGGUCAUACGUAGGAUCCGAGCAUUAUCCGGAGUGACUGGGUGUAAAGAGUUGCGUAGGUGGCAUAAUAAGUAGCUAGUGAAAUCUGGUGGCUCAACCAUUCAGACUAUUAGCUAAACUGUUAAGCUCGAGACCGGUAGGGGUAACUGGAAUUGCUAGUGUAGGAGUGAAAUCCGUAGAUAUUAGAAGGAACACCAAUAGCGUAGGCAGGUUGCUGGGACGGUUCUGACACUAAGGCACGAAAGCGUAGGGAGCAAACGGGAUUAGAUACCCGUGUAGUC
rnacentral:rRNA from 1 species